rnacentral:lncRNA from 1 species
GUGACAAUAACACCGCUCCAGCCGGGGGCCUACGCGCGGGAGAAAGUGGAGCUGAGAUUGUAGGAAAUUCAGAGUUAUAUUUUCCAGCCUCUCCAGCCAGAAGUCUCCACUACGUCGUGGGAAACAUAUAUCAAAUGGAGUUGAAAGGCAAAAGGAAGUGAUCAGCGCCACAAGAUGUUGAAACUAAUGGAGACCGCAGAGAUCAUGUGCUAAGGGGCCUUCCUCCUCUGGGCUUUUCCUUCUGGCUGGAAUGGACUCCUCUCGACUUCCCUUUUCUCACCUCUGCUUGAAAUAUGUGCACCUUUUCAUAAUGGGUGGGAGAAGGAAUGUUCUCUGGAGAAAUCUGUAUGAUAGAAUAGUGAAGGUAACUGGCCUGAACUACAGCUCUUGAGCCAUCUGGUUUCACCUUCAGGGAGGUCCCACUGAAGCUGAAUGACUGUGCAGGUUGAUACACUGGACAUUUUCGGUGAAACCUGUGUGAACAGACAACUGGAGGGUCAGAUGAUUUAUCCUCUCCCCAGUACCUUGGCACAAGCCUAGGCUACAGAAUGAGAUGCACGUAAGAAGUCUGUGACCUGGACCAGAGCAGCCCAGCUGAACACAUGCUGGAUUGGAAGAACCACCUUUGACCUGAAGACCUGUGAGUGAGAAUAAAUGCUGUUUGAGAAAGGAGUUUGGAGACAGAAAGACGGAAGAGUUGAUAUUCCGCUCACAGAUGUCAAUUUUCAAAGAAAUUUCUGCCCAUUAUGGAUGCACCACAAAUACUAAAGUCUAUGCAAUAUAUAUUUUGAAAAGAAUUUUUUUCGUGAAACUGUAAUUUUCGUUCAUAAGAGUAUAUUUCCUGACUUAGCAUUUUAUUGACUAGAUUAAAAUUUUGUUCCCCAAAGUAAGUGUGUGUGUGUGUGUGUGUGUGUGUGUGCACGCACACGUGUGUGUGCAUUCCUGAGGAUUAUUCUAAGGCUGAACUCCUUCAUAGAAAUGGAAUUUUUCUCUCUAUGCUCACAUUUUAAAACAGCUCACACAAGCCAGGCAGAAACUGCCAACCCCUUGGUUUCUAAUUCUUUGUGCUAGUUCUAUUAGAAGGGGCAAGUGUAAUCUGACAAUGGGAAACAAUACACCCUUUCUCAUAUUCUUUAUCAACAUACAUAAACUGGAAGAAAGAAAAAGAAAGAGAGGGGUACAGAGGGAGG